rnacentral:rRNA from 1 species
UACGGAGGGGGCGAGCGUUAUUCGGAAUUAUUGGGCGUAAAGGGCGCGUAGGCGGCUGUACAAGUCAAAGGUGAAAUCCCUCGGCUCAACUGAGGAACUGCCUUUGAAACUGUACGGCUUGAGGCCGGGAGGGGGUAGCGGAAUUCCUAGUGCAGAGGUGAAAUUCGUAGAUAUUAGGAAGAACACCGGUGGCGAAGGCGGCCCACUGGAUCGGUACUGACGCUGAGGUGCGAAAGCGUGGGGAGCAAACAGG